GACGAACGCUGGCGGCGUGCUUAACACAUGCAAGUCGAGCGGUAAGGCCCUUUCGGGGGUACGACGAGCGGCGAACGGGUGAGUAACACGUGGGUGACCUGCCCUCAGCUCUGGGAUAAGCCUGGGAAACCGGGUCUAAUACUGGAUAUGACUCCAUGACGCAUGUUGUGGGGUGGAAAGCCUUGUGCGGCUGAGGAUGGGCCCGCGGCCUAUCAGCUUGUUGGUGGGGUGAGGCCUACCAAGGCGACGACGGGUAGCCGGCCUGAGAGGGCGACCGGCCACACUGGGACUGAGACACGGCCCAGACUCCUACGGGAGGCAGCAGUGGGGAAUCUUGCGCAAUGGGCGAAAGCCUGACGCAGCGACGCCGCGUGAGGGAUGACGGCCU
rnacentral:rRNA from 1 species